rnacentral:rRNA from 1 species
ACGUCUACAUUAGAUACCCCCCGUAGUCCCAGCCGUAAACUAUGCGCGUUAGGUGUAUCGGUGACCACGAGUCACCGAGGUGCCGAAGGGAAACCGUGAAACGUGCCGCCUGGGAAGUACGGUCGCAAGGCUGAAACCUAAAGGAAUUGGCGGGGAGCACCACAACGGGUGGAGCCUGCGGUUUAAUUGGACUCAACGCCGGGAAGCUCACCGGAUAAGACAGCGGAAUGAUUGCCGGGCUGAAGACUCUGCAUGACUAGCUG